rnacentral:rRNA from 1 species
UACGAAGGGGGGCUAGCGUUGUUCGGAUUUACUGGGCGUAAAGGGCUCGUAGGUGGCCAACUAAGUCAGACGUGAAAUCCCUCAGCUUAACUGGGGAACUGCGUCUGAUACUGGAUGGCUUGAGUUCGGGAGAGGGAUGCGGAAUUCCAGGUGUAGCGGUGAAAUGCGUAGAUAUCUGGAGGAACACCGGUGGCGAAGGCGGCAUCCUGGACCGACACUGACACUGAGGAGCGAAAGCCAGGGGAGCAAACGGGG